UACAGAGGGUGCGAGCGUUGUUCGGAAUUAUUGGGCGUAAAGGGCGCGUAGGCGGUGCGGUAAGUCACCUGUGAAAUCUCCUGGCUCAACUGGGAGCUUGCAGGCGAAACUGCCGUGCUGGAGUGUGGGAGAGGUGCGUGGAAUUCCUGGUGUAGCGGUGAAAUGCGUAGAUAUCAGGAGGAACACCUGUGGCGAAAGCGGCGCACUGGACCACAACUGACGCUGAGACACGAAAGCGUGGGUAGCAAACAGG
rnacentral:rRNA from 1 species